rnacentral:rRNA from 1 species
GACGAACCGAGCGAACGUUGUUCGGAAUCACUGGGCUUAAAGGGCGCGUAGGCGGCACGGCAAGUCGGGAGUGAAAGCCCGGGGCUCAACCCCGGAGGGUCUUCCGAAACUGCCGAGCUAGAGUGCGGAAGAGGCAACCGGAAUUCCCAGUGUAGCGGUGAAAUGCGUAGAUAUUGGGAAGAACACCAGAGGCGAAGGCGGGUUGCUGGGCCGACACUGACGCUGAGGCGCGAAAGCCAGGGGAGCAAACGGG